UGGAGUGGGUCAGUAUGAGAAUGU
rnacentral:piRNA from 1 species